AUUGAACGCUGGCGGCAGGCCUAACACAUGCAAGUCGAGCGGAUGAAGGGAGCUUGCUCCUGGAUUCAGCGGCGGACGGGUGAGUAAUGCCUAGGAAUCUGCCUGGUAGUGGGGGAUAACGUCCGGAAACGGGCGCUAAUACCGCAUACGUCCUGAGGGAGAAAGUGGGGGAUCUUCGGACCUCACGCUAUCAGAUGAGCCUAGGUCGGAUUAGCUAGUUGGUGGGGUAAAGGCCUACCAAGGCGACGAUCCGUAACUGGUCUGAGAGGAUGAUCAGUCACACUGGAACUGAGACACGGUCCAGACUCCUACGGGAGGCAGCAAUGGGGAAUAUUGGACAAUGGGCGAAAGCCUGAUCCAGCCAUGCCGCGUGUGUGAAGAAGGUCUUCGGAUUGUAAAGCACUUUAAGUUGGGAGGAAGGGCAGUAAGUUAAUACCUUGCUGUUUUGACGUUACCAACAGAAUAAGCACCGGCUAACUUCG
rnacentral:rRNA from 1 species